CCCCAGCGCCACAAGUGGCAAUCACAAUUACUGGGCCUAAAGCGUCCGUAGCCGGCCUGAUGAAUCUUUUGUGAAAUCAUGGGGCUUAACUCCAUGACGUGCAGGAGACACUGUCAGGCUUGGGACCGGGAGGAGUCAGAGGUAUUCCGGGGGGAGCGGUAAAAUGUUAUAAUCCUCGGCAGACCACCUGUGGCGAAGGCGUCUGACUAGAACGGAUUCGACGGUGAGGGACGAAGGCUGGGGGAGCAAAACG
rnacentral:rRNA from 1 species